rnacentral:rRNA from 1 species
AUUGAACGCUGGCGGCAGGCCUAACACAUGCAAGUCGAGCGAGCGGCGGACGGGUGUGUAUUGUCUGGGAAACUGUCCGAUGGAGGGGGAUAACUACUGUAAACGGUAGCUAUUACCGCAUACCACCAGAUGUGUCCAGAUGGGAUUAGCUAGUAGGUGGGGUAACGGCUCACCUAGGCGACGAUCCCUAGCUGGUCUGAGAGGAUGACCAGCGACACUGGAACUGAGACACGGUCCAGACUCCUACGGGAGGCAGCAGUGGGGAAUAUUGCACAAUGGGCGCAAGCCUGAUGCAGCCAUGCCGCGUGUGUGAAGAAGGCCUUCGGGUUGUAAAGCACUUGCAGCGGGGAGGCGUUACCCGCAGAAGAAGCACCGGCUAACUCCGUGCCAGCAGCCGCGGUAAUAC